rnacentral:rRNA from 1 species
GCAGUCGAACGGUAGCACAGAGAGCUUGCUCUCGGGGGACGAGUGGCGGACGGGGGAGUAAUGUCUGGGAAACUGCCUGAUGGAGGGGGAUAACUACUGGAAACGGUAGCUAAUACCGCAUAACGUCGCAAGACCAAAGAGGGGGACCUUCGGGCCUCUUGCCAUCAGAUGUGCCCAGAUGGGAUUAGCUAGUAGGGGGGGUAACGGCUCACCUAGGCGACGAUCCCUAGCUGGUCUGAGAGGAUGACCAGCCACACUGGAACUGAGACACGGUCCAGACUCCUACGGGAGGCAGCAGUGGGGAAUAUUGCACAAUGGGCGCAAGCCUGAUGCAGCCAUGCCGCGUGUAUGAAGAAGGCCUUCGGGUUUUAAAGUACUUUCAGCGGGGAGGAAGGGGUUUUGGUUAAUAACCGCAGCAAUUGACGUUACCCGCAGAAGAAGCACCGGCUAACUCCGUGCCAGCAGCCGCGGUAAUACGGAGGGGGCAAGCGUUAAUCGGAAUUACUGGGCGUAAAGCGCACGCAGGCGGUCUGUCAAGUCGGAUGUGAAAUCCCCGGGCUCAACCUGGGAACUGCAUUCGAAACUGGCAGGCUAGAGUCUUUUAGAGGGGGGUAGAAUUCCAGGGGUAGCGGGGAAAUGCGUAGAGAUCUGGAGGAAUACCGGGGGCGAAGGCGGCCCCCUGGACAAAGACUGACGCUCAG